rnacentral:rRNA from 1 species
AUGCACACGAUGCUCACACGUGCUAAACGUGGGCUCUUCCAACCCACCGAUUGUCUAAACCUCACGGCAUCACACUCCACUCCCUCUCCCACUCCAUCUCCCAUUCCAAAACAUACCGGGGUGCUCUCCAUGACCCUCACUGGCGUCGUGCCAUGCUCAAGGAAUUUGGUGCUCUUGUUGCUAACGGAACUUGGUCACUUGUUCCUCGACCUUCUCGUGCUCAUGUUGUUUCAGGAAAAUGGAUCUUCAAGCAUAAGUUUCAUUCUGACGGAAGCCUUGCUCGUUACAAGGCUCGGUGGAUGGUCCGUGGCUACUCUCAACAGCCGGGCAUCGAUUUUGAUGAGACAUUCAGCCCCAUGGUCAAGCCGUCCACGAUACGCAUCGUCCUAG